UUUUUGGGUUAAAGCUAAUAUUGAUGGUUCGAUGGUUGACACCAAUACAACCUGUGGGGAUAUUUUCGGCGAUUAUUCUGCUAAUAUUUUUGGGAGGAUUUGCUUUAAACCUCCAUUUCUCUUAAUGUUUUGCAUGCGGAAUUAAUGGUCAUUAUUUUGGCAAUGAUGAUUUUGACGAACAAAGGUCGGGAUAACAUUUGGAUUGAAAGUGAUUCUCAAGUUGCUCUUACAAUAUUUUC
rnacentral:lncRNA from 1 species